CAGUAGCCACGGUAAGACAGAGGAUGCAAGCGUUAUCCGGAAUGAUUGGGCGUAAAGCGUGCGCAGGCGGUUAUAUAAGACAGAUGUGAAAUCCCCGGGCUCAACCUGGGAACUGCAUUUGUGACUGUAUAGCUAGAGUACGGCAGAGGGGGGUGGAAUUCCGCGUGUAGCAGUGAAAUGCGUAGAUAUGCGGAGGAACACCGAUGGCGAAGGCAGCCCCCUGGGCCAAUACUGACGCUCAUGCACGAAAGCGUGGGGAGCAAACAGGAUUAGAUACCCGUGUAGUCCCUGUCUCUUAUAC
rnacentral:rRNA from 1 species